ensembl:lncRNA
CGGGCUGGGAGAGACUCUGUACUCGGUCCCUGCCCUGUGGGUACGUGGUCAUGCAGCGGUGCAGGCAGCUGGUCUUCCACAGCUUGGGACAACACUGCUGUUCAACUGCUGAUGACAGAGCAGAGACCUGCAGUGCAUGACUUCUUAGGAAGCCUGUUCCCAUUUGGGAGCAAGAGGCUCCUGGGAGAAGAAGCCUUGAAUGUGGAUGUGGAUGUGGAUAUGGAUGUGGCUGCUGUCCAUGGAGCUGACUCAAGUCACACACUCAGAGUUUUAAUAGGCUUCAAGAGAGAUUUAAGU